UGUGACCUACGGGACGCAGCAGUAGGGAAUUUUCGUCAAUGGGCGCAAGCCUGAACGAGCAAUGCCGCGUGAACGAGGAAGGUCUUCGGAUCGUAAAGUUCUGUUGAAGGGGAAAAAGAGCGGAGAGAGGAAAUGAACUCCGAUUGAUAUUACCCUUCGAGGAAGUCACGGCUAACUACGUGCCAGCAGCCGCGGUAAUACGUAGGUGGCGAGCGUUAUCCGGAAUGAUUGGGCGUAAAGGGUGCGUAGGCGGCCUGCUAAGUCUGGAGUAAAAGGUACCGGCUCAACCGGUAAAGGCUCUGGAA
rnacentral:rRNA from 1 species